UACGUAGGGGGCUAGCGUUGUCCGGAAUCAUUGGGCGUAAAGCGCGUGUAGGCGGUCCGAUAAGUCCGCUGUGAAAGUCGAGGGCUCAACCCUCGAAUGCCGGUGGAUACUGUCGGGCUUGAGUACGGGAGAGGCGAGUGGAAUUCCUGGUGUAGCGGUGAAAUGCGCAGAUAUCAGGAGGAACACCGGUGGCGAAGGCGGGUCUCUGGGCAGUAACUGACGCUGAGGAGCGAAAGCGUGGGGAGCGAACAGG
rnacentral:rRNA from 1 species